UCAGGAUGAACGCUAGCUACAGGCUUAACACAUGCAAGUCGAGGGGCGAGCAUGAAGUUGCUUGCAAACUUGAUGGCGACCGGCGCACGGGUGAGUAACGCGUAUCCAACCUGGCCCUUAGUAGGGGAUAGCCCGGCGAAAGUCGGAUUAAUACCCUAUGUUUUCCUAUGAGGACAUCUGAGCAGGAACAAAGAUUUAUCGCUAAGGGAUGGGGAUGCGUCUGAUUAGCUUGUCGGCGGGGUAACGGCCCACCGAGGCUACGAUCAGUAGGGGUUCUGAGAGGAAGGUCCCCCACAUUGGUACUGAGACACGGACCAAACUCCUACGGGAGGCAGCAGUGAGGAAUAUUGGUCAAUGGGCGAGAGCCUGAACCAGCCAAGUAGCGUGCAGGAUGAACCUGCCCUAUGGGUUGUAAACUGCUUUUAUGCGGGAAUAAAGUGCAUCACGUGUGGUGUUUUGUAUGUACCGCAUGAAUAAGGACCGGCUAAUUCCGUGCCAGCAGCGGC
rnacentral:rRNA from 1 species